GGAUGUGAGGGGAUCUGGCUGUGACAUCUGUCACCCCAUUGAUCACCAGGUUUGAUUCAGCUGAUCUGUCUGGCUAGGCAGGUGUCCCCUUCCUCCCUCACUGCUUCACGUGUGUCCCUCCCAACACUGUGACCUUGGUAGAAGAAGACAAUCUCUCCCAAUAGAGGAGAACUGUUCUUUUGUCAAGGGUAUACGAGUAGCUGCACUCCCAUGCUACAGCCUCCAAACAAGCUCUCAAGAAUAUUAAAUUCUGCUAAGGGUUACCUACCUAUCAAGUUGAAAUAUAGAAUUUUACCAAAAGUAUAAUAGGUGAUU
rnacentral:snRNA from 1 species